AACCGGAUUAGAUACCCUGGUAGUCCAUGCCGUAAACGUUGGCACUAGGUGUGGGGGACAUUCCACGUUUUUCCGCGCCGUAGCUAACGCAUUAAGUGCCCCGCCUGGGGAGUACGGCCGCAAGGCUAAAACUCAAAGGAAUUGACGGGGGCCCGCACAAGCGGCGGAGCAUGCGGAUUAAUUCGAUGCAACGCGAAGAACCUUACCAAGGCUUGACAUGGACCGGACCGCUGCAGAAAUGUGGUUUCCCCUUUGGGGCCGGUUCACAGGUGGUGCAUGGUUGUCGUCAGCUCGUGUCGUGAGAUGUUGGGUUAAGUCCCGCAACGAGCGCAACCCUCGUUCCAUGUUGCCAGCGCGUAAUGGCGGGGACUCAUGGGAGACUGCCGGGGUCAACUCGGAGGAAGGUGGGGACGACGUCAAAUCAUCAUGCCCCUUAUGUCUUGGGCUUCACGCAUGCUACAAUGGCCGGUACAAAGGGUUGCGAUACUGUGAGGUGGAGCUAAUCCCAAAAAGCCGGUCUCAGUUCGGAUUGGGGUCUGCAACUCGACCCCAUGAAGUCGGAGUCGCUAGAAUCGCAGAUU
rnacentral:rRNA from 1 species